UAGGGAAUAUUGGGCAAUGGACGAAAGUCUGACCCAGCCAUGCCGCGUGCAGGAUGACUGCCCUAUGGGUUGUAAACUGCUUUUCUACGGGAAGAAACACUCAUACGUGUGUGAGCUUGACGGUACCGUAGGAAUAAGGAUCGGCUAACUCCGUGCCAGCAGCCGCGGUAAUACGGAGGAUCCAAGCGUUGUCCGGAUUCAUUGGGUUUAAAGGGUGCGUAGGCGGACUACUAAGUCAGGGGUGAAAUCU
rnacentral:rRNA from 1 species